rnacentral:rRNA from 1 species
ACUGGCGACCGGCGCACGGGUGAGUAACGCGUAUCCAACCUGCCCUUUACUAUGGGACAGCCCGUCGAAAGGCGGAUUAAUACCGUAUGUUGUCAUGUUGAUGCAUAUUUUCAUGACCAAAGGCUUCGGCCGGUAAAGGAUGGGGAUGCGUCUGAUUAGCUUGCCGGCGGGGUAACGGCCCACCGGGGCGACGAUCAGUAGGGGUUCUGAGAGGAAGGUCCCCCACAUUGGAACUGAGACACGGUCCAAACUCCUACGGAAGGCAGCAG